rnacentral:rRNA from 1 species
AAUAGAUACCCUGGUAGUCCACGCCGUAAACGAUGAGUGCUAAGUGUUAGAGGGUUUCCGCCCUUUAGUGCUGCAGCUAACGCAUUAAGCACUCCGCCUGGGGAGUACGGCCGCAAGGCUGAAACUCAAAGGAAUUGACGGGGGCCCGCACAAGCGGUGGAGCAUGUGGUUUAAUUCGAAGCAACGCGAAGAACCUUACCAGGUCUUGACAUCCUCUGCCAACCCUAGAGAUAGGGCGUUCCCCUUCGGGGGACAGAGUGACAGGUAGUGCAUGGUUGUCGUCAGCUCGUGUCGUGAGAUGUUGGGUUAAGUCCCGCAACGAGCGCAACCCUUGAUCUUAGUUGCCAGCAUUCAGUUGGGCACUUUAAGGUGACUGCCGGUGACAAACCGGAGGAAGGUGGGGAUGACGUCAAAUCAUCAUGCCCCUUAUGACCUGGGCUACACACGUGCUACAAUGGAUGGUACAAAGAGCUGCGAACCCGCGAGGGUAAGCGAAUCUCAUAAAGCCAUUCUCAGUUCGGA